GCUUGCUCUCUGGGUGGCGAGUGGCGGACGGGUGAGGAAUACAUCGGAAUCUACCUUUUCGUGGGGGAUAACGUAGGGAAACUUACGCUAAUACCGCAUACGACCUUCGGGUGAAAGCAGGGGACCUUCGGGCCUUGCGCGGAUAGAUGAGCCGAUGUCGGAUUAGCUAGUUGGCGGGGUAAAGGCCCACCAAGGCGACGAUCCGUAGCUGGUCUGAGAGGAUGAUCAGCCACACUGGAACUGAGACACGGUCCAGACUCCUACGGGAGGCAGCAGUGGGGAAUAUUGGACAAUGGGCGCAAGCCUGAUCCAGCCAUACCGCGUGGGUGAAGAAGGCCUUCGGGUUGUAAAGCCCUUUUGUUGGGAAAGAAAAGCAGUCGGUUAAUACCCGGUUGUUCUGACGGUACCCAAAGAAUAAGCACCGGCUAACUUCGUGCCAGCAGCCGCGGUAAUACGAAGGGUGCAAGCGUUACUCGGAAUUACUGGGCGUAAAGCGUGCGUAGGUGGUUGUUUAAGUCUGUUGUGAAAGCCCUGGGCUCAACCUGGGAAUUGCAGUGGAUACUGGGCGACUAGAGUGUGGUAGAGGGUAGUGGAAUUCCUGGU
rnacentral:rRNA from 1 species